rnacentral:rRNA from 1 species
AGAGUUUGAUCCUGGCUCAGGAUGAACGCUAGCUACAGGCUUAACACAUGCAAGUCGAGGGGCAGCAUGGUCUUAGCUUGCUAAGGCUGAUGGCGACCGGCGCACGGGUGAGUAACACGUAUCCAACCUGCCGUCUACUCUUGGCCAGCCUUCUGAAAGGAAGAUUAAUCCAGGAUGGGAUCAUGAGUUCACAUGUACCGCAUGAUUAAAGGUAUUUUCCGGUAGACGAUGGGGAUGCGUUCCAUUAGAUAGUAGGCGGGGUAACGGCCACCUAGUCAACGAUGGAUAGGGGUUCUGAGAGGAAGGUCCCCCANAUUGGAACUGAGACACGGUCCAAACGUCCUACGGGAGGCA